UACAGAGGGGGCAAGCGUUAUUCGGAAUUAUUGGGCGUAAAGGGCGCGUAGGCGGCUUUGCAAGUGGCGGGUGAAAUCCCUCGGCUUAACCGAGGAACUGCCUGUCAAACUGCAUGGCUUGAGACCAGGAGAGGUGAGUGGAAUUCCCAGCGUAGCGGUGAAAUGCGUAGAUAUUGGGAGGAACACCAGUGGCGAAGGCGGCUCACUGGACUGGUACUGACGCUGAUGCGCGAAAGCGUGGGGAGCAAACAGG
rnacentral:rRNA from 1 species